rnacentral:misc_RNA from 1 species
UCUGCAGAGUGUGAAUUAGCUCUUAUAGAGGGCAGAAUUUUGUAUUAAAUCAUAUUUAAUCUUUCUCAUAUACAAAUGAUCUUCGAUACGCUAUUUCUAACUGAGCAGGAUAUGUGAUGGAUGUCUUUGAUUCUUAUCUCUCUUGGGAUAUGUGAAUCUGUAAGACAUAUUAAGCUGGUUCCAGCUGUUGUCUUAACCAUAUCAUAUCAAUACAAAACAAAUGAUCUUGCAGCUGGAAGCUCCUUUUGUUUGAACAUCUUCGCAUCUGAAUGCAGUUCCAUCUUUGUUCAAAACAGUCUCUAACUAAAAUUAACAUCGUUUCUUCUUUUGCUUAUUGAAAAUUUUCCAUAUUGCAGCAGUAUCCGGUCCUUAUGCUUAGCACAGUUGGAUGCCAUGGAGCAUAUAAAUCUCCAGGUGAUGGAUACCAUCUCUCUGCAGAAAGAUGCUGUAAUUUGCAGAAGACCCUUUCAUAGUAGACAUCAAAUUUGGCUGAGUUCUUCCCCCAACAAUGUCACGAGCUUAAACAUCCUCUAAGACUAAGAGUCUUUAAAACAAGAUGAUGAAUUCCCCAAUACCUAUUGAAAAUUCUUGAUGAAGAUGAAUGGCUACAGCAAUUUCACCGGAAUCUGUUUUGAAGCCCCAAGAAACCCCUUCAGUAAGGUCCCUGGUGGCAUAAAAUUUGUUUUCUUCCAAGAUAUCAACUAUAGCUUGUAGCAAGCAGUGCAGCAGGCUUGUAUUGGACACUACAAAUCUUCUCAGUAUCUUAUUCCAACCAGAAUUUGUUCUCCAGCAAUUGCCCAAACAAAUGUUGUUUAUUCAAUUAAAGUUUCAACUUCUUUACUCCAUUCUUUCGUUGCAUAUAUCAAUAGCUCCACCAAG